CUUGGCCUCCCAAAGUGCUGGGAUUACAGGCGUGAGCCACCGCGCCUGGCCUUCUGCUUUCUUUAUCAUAUUGUAGUUCAGUUCCUGUAGUUUCAGGUUACUUAUUGUUAGGGAUGGGUGCUGACAUUUCGGGUCCCCUGGCUGGCAGCCAAGAUUCAAGAGCACUGUUUUCUUGCUGUCAAAUCACAUUGCACCAACAUCAAGUUGGAUAUAAAAGUCCCCACAAGUAUCAAUAAAAGACUGAUGGUGCCUUUUAUUAUUCUUUGGGCUGAAGUGAGAAACUGGAAGGCUAAAAGACAUGCGGAUAAAUGUGACAGGCCGAGUAUGCUCUGUAGUGUCAGCUCCUUCCCAAAACCCCGCUAACACUAUGGCAAAGAAAAGGUAUAAACUUACAAGAACGAAGAAAAAUGGAGAGAAAAAGAUAUCAGAGAAGAAAGAUCAGCAGAACUUGGGAACGUGAAAAGUGGAAGGCUGAGUGCUGUCUUGGCAGAAGGGAAAGCUGAGAGGCAGCAGGCCAGCUCACAUCCAAGAACCUCGGAAGAGCUCAGGAAUUGAAGAGUUGUUAGGCUAAAAUGAGACCAUAGCUGUGAAUAUCCUUUGGCAGGAAAUGCAGUAGAGAAUGCAAGAGGCAACAAUGAUGGCUGGAAGAGAAGGGCCCCAAGAUAAUAAAGCCACACAUGGACCGGGCAGAGAUCCCUGAGUGGCCACUGGAAGGUGAGCUGCCUGAGAAGAGUCACCAUAUCUUCUUUGACUGGAGAAAUAAACUUUGUGUUAAGUCACUGAAA